UCCGCUAUCUAUCUGAAUAAUUGACUCUCAGAGGCGGUUUGCUACGCUUGUUCGUUUUGUACACUCCCCUCGCUUCAGUACUCGCUUUGCUACCGUUAGUAUACAAGGGGCUCUAGCCUAGAAGAGGGUCCCAGUGCAGAAGUAGAAAAUUCAAGUAACAAAGCACAGGCUCAAACCAGAUAGAUCGUCAAGUACUUCCCGAUCAGUCUCACUAGCGCAGCGGAUUGCUCUUUCUUUAGUUAGGACCGCCAUUGAAGAUGGGUUAAUCCAAGCCUAAUGGUCGACCACAUUCAACGGUAAAAACUCAUGCUAGGAGCUCCUUUUCUUAGAGAAGAAGUGACACUUUGAAGGAUGGGCGAGCGCCCGCCCUCUUUGGGGCGCAGGUUUCCGCAUCCGAAAAUGGGUCUCUCUUUCAAUCUUAUUUAUAUAAGAUUACAGGUCAAAGGCAGGGAUAUAGAGUAGUUGAUUCAAUUCCAACUGUUUGUUCAGCAGAGGCACUCGCUUAAGCCGAAUUUUCUCAUUCAAAUCUUCCCCGUUUUUUUCCCGAAACGAUAUAGCAGGCAUGUGUCGAGUAUGAAGAUGAGGCCUGAGACCAAGAAAAAAAUUCUUAGUUGUUUCAAGAUCUAUUAAUUCAGCGAAGCGGAAAAGGAAGCACGAGCGCCCGAAUUCGUAUCAGAAAGGUUUUUGGCCUGGAUUUUUUCAUUUUUCUUUUUAUAAUAAUCCCUUGAUGAGUAUUCUGCUUAAGAAUCUAUCCUGAGUAGUCUCCCAAACACGAUGAAAAUAGCCCUUGACCGGUGUGGCUAAGCCAAUCCAUAAUCACCAGAAAUGAGUGACGAGGGCUCCCUUCGGCUAAGAAUAGAGGGCAGUGUACUAGUUCGCUAUCUCAGUAUUGGAAUAAUCCCAUGACAUGUUCAUCCAAACAGGGAUUUGUGUUAGUGGAGAAAGACCUUCUUUUGACCUCCUACCCGCUGCACUUAAGAAUUCAAUAUCUAGGAGUAGUAGCGCUAAUCGAAGCAUCAAAGCAGAAGGCCAUUGAAUCAAGUGUCGAAAGACUACGUAUAAAACAAGAAUCCCCAGAGGGGGCCCCGGGUCGGGCGAAGAGGAGAAAGCCCAUCAAGUAAACAGGUGAAAAGACCGCGGAGUAUCUGGUCAGCUUCAUAAUGAGGAUCUCGUGUACUUAGUCAGUACGAAUGAAGAAGACCCGGCAAUGAUAGCAAAAAGCCACAUUCAUGAAUCUCUAGAUCACAUGUUCUUAGUCAACAAGCGCGCUAUAGCGAGACGAGCACUGGAGCCUGUGAAGAGAGUAUUAGCGAACGCAGUGCGGAGUUAGGCGGGAAAGGAAGAAGGAGAGAGCCCGCAAGCGGGGGCCCGGGGGAAGCAAGGAUGCUAGUUCAGAUUGACUCCUCCGCGCAUACAUUUCCAACACAUGCUCUUCCGGGAAUCUUGAAAAAAGAAUUUCCUUAUUGACGUAGAUUGGGAUUAAGCAAUUCUUUGACGGCCAUCUCGAAUGAUCAAUCCGUGCUAAGUAGCGCAUGUGAACUGAAAGUAAAUACUGCUGCUUCGGAACCGCAAAGGGGAUUGCCUGACCUGCCUUCCAAAGAACUCAUAUUUAUGCGAAGAUCACACGGCUCGCAUAAUAUAAUAAUGAGUUCUUUCCUUGUCCUGGUUUCUUUCCGGCUCUAUUCCGACCUAUUUUGAUAUGGUAUAUAGAUCGAGUUAUUUCCGUAGCUCUAUGAGCUCAAGCUAAUCCCCUGCCGGUUGCUAACAAGCGUGCCGGUUAGCUUCCUUAGCUCAAUGAGCGUAAGCGGCUCCGCACCCGAAGCGAAUAGCCUUCCUUGAUAUAGCAAGGUAGAUCCGUCUCACUUCGCGAAACUAUCUAAACUUCUAGACGGAGUCUCGUAAAGCGAGCCGUGCAGUGUGACCGUAGCUCUAUGAGCAAAGCCAAGCUAACGCUUCCCUCUCCCUAAUGGUCGAGAGCUCAAGCCCUCUCCUGCUUAUUAAUAGGGCGAGUGCUAAAUCUCCCUAUUUCAUAGCAUAGGUCGAGACCUUCGGUUCCGUAGCUCUAUGAGCGUAAGCGACUAAAGUGACUCGGUCCUUCGGUGACUCUCCUGUGUUGGGUAGGGCUAACUCGUUUUGCUCUCUCUGUGCUUGUUUCCCAAGUGACUACUGUCCUCCCUGCUCCAUCCCUCCGCUCUGCUCCCGCUUGCUUUCAUGUACACGUGUUACCUCUUCCCUACAA
rnacentral:lncRNA from 1 species